UUUCAGUCCUGGCCCUGAUGAGGAAGCUCGGCCACUUACUCUCUUCCUUGGAAGAAAUCUGGUGUUGGUGGGUAGUUCCUAGAAUGGCCACAUCCCAGAAUGUCAGGACUGUGAUAAACCUGUUCAACUUCCUCAUGAUGCGGCUAGGGAAACAGACCCAGGUGAUACCAAAAAUGGAUGUAGAUUCCUAAGUAGCGACUGAGAAUCAUUCAGGCUUCUCCCAUGAAGGUCACAGGUUUCUGCCUGGAGAACUAAAGAGCCACCUGCUAAUGUGGAUCAAUAAGUAACCAUCGUGGUCCUCUGGGGCCACUCGGAGCUGCAGUAAUUCCCAGUGUUGGACGACUAAGCUAGGAGACUUCUGCGGACUCUGACUGUUUGUAUUUGAGAUGUUGGUGCUUCUCAAACUUUAAGGAAGUGCGGAGGGACUUGGGGUCUUGUGAGAGACUCCUAAGCGGUAUUCAGUGCCCCCGGAGACCCCUGUCGGCAGUACGACUUCCUCACCUCCCUCUGCUCCUCUGUGGGCAGUGACCGCUCGCAGGGUAGCCAAGGACACUUCGUCACCAUGAUACACCGGUAUCGGUCCCAAAACUCCCUGACCGUGAAGGCAACCUUGGAAAAAUGACAGUGACCUUUGGGUGGAGCAAUACAGUCAUGGGCCUUCAGAGCCGGAGUGAAGCUUGAAUGACGCAGAGCCAAAGAAAGGCCUUAUCCCAGCCGAGGAGACUAAGCCAAGGACACACAGUCAGCUGGAGAGAAGUCUGGGCCCGGAGCUCCUGUCGGCUCACUGCCAGCCCCACACUUCCCCGCGGUGUAAACCAGUGCGAGGGGCAGGUUUUGACUAUAUGCCCUGGGUAUCCUUAGGCAACUGUCGUAAAACACAAUAGCACUCUAGCCUGAGGAACACUGGCUGUGUUUUCCAGUUGCUCUUGGUGUUCUUAUUUUAUUUGUUUAUUUUGCAUUCCUAAUUUAAAAAUAAAAUUCCUAA